rnacentral:lncRNA from 1 species
GCUGGCAGGGGUAGGGGCAGGGGCAAGGGCGUCGGCUCAGACCUCAAUCGAGGACGGGGCACACGGGGCGACGAACACAUGGCUGGGGCCCUGGAGGAGACACAGCUGGGGAUCAGGUGGCCACGGCGGGCGCAGUUCUGCGACUCUGGUGGUCAGAAGCCAGAUAUCAGGGGAUCAGAAAACUCGGGAGGCAGCAUAAAGGCCUAGGUGAGACCUCUGGGGCAGUGGCUGCCCACCUGGAAGUCCCCCUGUUUAGCCCCCCACUCCCCCAACACUCACUGGAUGGGGUGAGCCGUGCCGGUGUCGAAUGCGGCCUGCAGACCUCGGGUUCCUGAGACAAAGAGACAGACGGAAGGGGCUAGUGGCCCCCUGGGCCCUACCGGCCACAGCCACAAGGAGCUCAUCAGGUGAAGAGCCCCAUGGAAAAGACAACCACAGUUCUCAUGAUUAACCGUGUCCCCCUGGGAAGAAGACGGGGGUGCUCCCUUUCAUUCUUUGGGGCUGUCCGCCCAGGACCUAUGUCCACAGAGAUGGGUGAUCCCUCCACUU